CCUUGCACGCACAUUGUGCCUCCUA
rnacentral:piRNA from 1 species